CCUACGGGCGGCAGCAGUGAGGAAUAUUGGUCAAUGGACGAGAGUCUGAACCAGCCAAGUAGCGUGAAGGAUGACUGCCCUAUGGGUUGUAAACUUCUUUUAUAUGGGAAUAAAAUGUUCCACGUGUGGGAUUUUGUAUGUACCAUAUGAAUAAGGAUCGGCUAACUCCGUGCCAGCAGCCGCGGUAAUACGGAGGAUCCGAGCGUUAUCCGGUUUGAUUGGGUUAAAGGGGAGCGUAGGUGGAUUGUUAAGGCGGUUGUAAAAGUUUGCGGCUCAACCGUAAAUUGCAGUUGAAACUGGCAGUCUUGAGUACAGUAGAGGUGGGCGGAAUUCGUGGUGUAGCGGUGAAAUGCUUAGAUAUCACGAAGAACUCCGAUUGCGAAGGCAGCUCACUGGACUGCAACUGACACUGAGGCUCGAAAGUGUGGGUAUCAAACAGGAUUAGAUACCCCUGUAGUC
rnacentral:rRNA from 1 species